ACCAGGACUCUGGCUGAGGAGAGCUGAUGGAGGAGCCAAGACUCUGGAGGACGACAUCACUCCACCAACUAGGAUCCUCGUAAGUUUGCCUAAAAUAAACCGAGUGGACUUGUUGUAACGCAGGAUUAGUUUGUCCAGUACAAGUUACAAGCAUACUAUUGUGGUUGUUUACCAGACAAACUACAGCUGCUACUUUGUUACGCACCAUUAGAGCCCAACUACUCCUGUGUUUGUGACCUUACAUUAGAGACAAACUACUACUGUGUUUGUUACCUGAUAUUAGAGCAAACUACUCCUGUGUUUGUUACCUGAUAUUAGAGCAAACUACUCCUGUGUUUGUGACCUUGCAUUAGAGCCCAACUACUCCUGUGUUUUUUACCUUACAUUCGAGACAAACUACUACUGUGUUUGUUACUUUACAUUAGAGCCCAACUACUACUGUGUUUGUUACCUGAUAUUAGAGCCCAACUACUACUGUGUUUGUUACCUUACAUUAUAAACAAACUACUACUGUUUGUUACCUUACAUUAGAGCCCAACUACUACUGUGUUUGUUACCUUACAUUAUAAACAAACUACUACUGUUUGUUACCUUACAUUAGAGCCCAACUACUCCUGUGUUUGUUACCUUACAUUAGAGCCCAACUACUCCUGUGUUUGUUACCUUGCAUUAGAGCCCAACUACUCCUGUGUUUGUUACCUUACAUUAGAGACAAACUACUACUGUGUUUGUUACCUUACAUUAGAGACCAAUUACGUUUGCAACCAGACCAGGAAUCUGGAGGACUGAUGGAGGAGCCAAGACUCUGGAGGACGACAUCACUCCACCAACUAGGAUCCUCGUAAGUUUGCCUAAAAUAAACCGAGUGGACUUGUUGUAACGCAGGAUUAGUUUGUCCAGUACAAGUUACAAGCAUACUAUUGUGGUUGUUUACCAGACAAACUACAGCUGCUACUUUGUUACGCACCAUUAGAGCCCAACUACUCCUGUGUUUGUGACCUUACAUUAGAGACAAACUACUACUGUGUUUGUUACCUGAUAUUAGAGCAAACUACUCCUGUGUUUGUGACCUUGCAUUAGAGCCCAACUACUCCUGUGUUUUUUACCUUACAUUCGAGACAAACUACUACUGUGUUUGUUACUUUACAUUAGAGCCCAACUACUACUGUGUUUGUUACCUGAUAUUAGAGCCCAACUACUACUGUGUUUGUUACCUUACAUUAUAAACAAACUACUACUGUUUGUUACCUUACAUUAGAGCCCAACUACUACUGUG
rnacentral:lncRNA from 1 species